UAUAACACUUGAUUUUCAAAACAACGUCCAGCCAGUAACUAUUGUUACGCAUUGAGGUUGCGCGUGCUGCAACCUCAAACAAGCCAAUCAUGCUCGUGCAACACACGCCCAGGGCACUGGACAUGCGCGUGCACAAAUGCACAUUGUGCGUGCGCGAUCUACUGGCGUGAAGACGAGGAAAAAGACUGACGAGCCCAGCAUUUCAAAUGGCCGUAAGGACAUUGCUAAAACGUGGCUGUUUCGCCUGUGCUCAGCGCGUUCACCAUGCAUUGCAUAACAGCUUGACCAAUUCAAAAGUCGAUUUUCAAAAAAUAACACCAGAUUUUCCAAAAAACACCCAGCUAGCAAUGCUCUACAAACUGCAUUACAUUGUUUUGCACGUGCGCGCGAGCGUGCACGUGCAAACCAAUGUAAUUUAUGUGCAACAUACGCGGGUCGGACAUCUUAAGAGGUGACACCAGGAAGUUGAGUCUGUCUGGCUGACGUCUCCGCAAGAGACGCGUACGACCUUACAAUCCAAUGUGCACAAAAUGGCGGAAAAGUACUACUUUGAUGUCUUUGCUCAUUACUGUUAGAUGUGACGUGCCCGUACGAUCAUGUCCAUACACACAGAUGCAAAUAGACCUCGCCCCACAAACUAGACCGUUUAUUCGAAUGAAAAUGAC